GGCUAUGAGGAGAUGCGGAAACACAUCUUUUCCAGUAAUGUGCUGUAAAGGAGGAAUGUAAACUCAGAAGUUGUUUUUGUGCUAUUUCCAACUCUUCCUUCUCGCCCUUAGAGACACGAUUCUCAAAGGAUGAUGCAGGAGGAGGAAGCCUUGGGCUGCUAAUUAUUCGUGUGUCAACACCCUCACCUUUGGCAGCAGUGUCACCUUUCUCGUCAUGGCUGUACUCUGGAGAACGCCUUGCAGUGCUUCCUCACAGCUUGGCUUUCUUCUUAGAUGUCUGAGCCCAGUGCAGCCUGUAAAAACUCCGCCAUAGACCCCAGGAGGUAUCUGUGGUCUGAUGCCUGAGUCUCUAGAGGGGAAACUGAUGCUUUUCAGCUGCUCAGUUGCAUUAAACUAGACUAAAGUCCUUUUAUCCUACCAUUUAUUUUCUCUGUACACCACGACCCUAUCUGCGUAAGUGCUGGGCAGUCGGGUCUUAAAGAUGGUGGCCUCUCCGUAGUCACAAAGGGAGGUUGCCUUGGACAAUCUUCUCUCUCCCUGAAACUGACCAAAAAUGUCCAAAAUAUUUCCAUGAUUUUAAGCCUGAUUUUUCCCAUUUUUUAAAAAAA